GGAGUUGGCCAGGUAAUCGCUGGAGAGUUUUCUCUCUGGAGGAAAGUCCGGGCUCCAUAGGGCAGAGUGCCAGGUAACGCCUGGGCGGCGUGAGCCGACGGAAAGUGCCGCAGAAAAUAUACCGCCGAUGGUCCCAUCCCCCCCCACAGGGGCCAGGUAAGGGUGAAAUGGUGUGGUAAGAGCGCACCGCGCAGCUGGUAACAGCUGUGGCAAGGUAAACCCCACUCGGAGCAAGACCAAAUAGGGGAACAAUGUGUGGCCCACACAGUUCCCGGGUAGGUUGCUUGAGGUAUACGGUGACGUGUAUCCCAGAUGAAUGAUUAUCCAAGACAGAACCCGGCUUAUAGGCCAACUCCACUC
rnacentral:RNase_P_RNA from 1 species